CCUACGGGAGGCAGCAGUGGGGAAUUUUGGACAAUGGGCGAAAGCCUGAUCCAGCAAUGCCGCGUGAGUGAAGAAGGCCUUCGGGUUGUAAAGCUCUUUUGUCAGGGAAGAAACGGUGAGAGCUAAUAUCUCUUGCUAAUGACGGUACCUGAAGAAUAAGCACCGGCUAACUACGUGCCAGCAGCCGCGGUAAUACGUAGGGUGCAAGCGUUAAUCGGAAUUACUGGGCGUAAAGCGUGCGCAGGCGGUUUUGUAAGUCUGAUGUGAAAUCCCCGGGCUCAACCUGGGAAUUGCAUUGGAGACUGCAAGGCUAGAAUCUGGCAGAGGGGGGUAGAAUUCCACGUGUAGCAGUGAAAUGCGUAGAUAUGUGGAGGAACACCGAUGGCGAAGGCAGCCCCCUGGGUCAAGAUUGACGCUCAUGCACGAAAGCGUGGGGAGCAAACAGGAUUAGAUACCCUGGUAGUCCACGCCCUAAACGAUGUCUACUAGUUGUCGGGUCUUAAUUGACUUGGUAACGCAGCUAACGCGUGAAGUAGACCGCCUGGGGAGUACGGUCGCAAGNUUAAAACGUUANAGAGUAGUGAGNGNGAGAGCGACGACGACGACGAGGAGGAGGAG
rnacentral:rRNA from 1 species